rnacentral:lncRNA from 1 species
CCCUUUGCCUUCAGCAGGUGGAGCCAAGAUGUCAGAGUAAACCCGAGCAGCUUGAAAUCACCACAAGAAUCCUCUACAACCAAUAUUAAAACAUCGCCACAAAAUAAAUACAGGAGAGAAAGAAUCAACAAGGAGACACAAUGAAACAACUGUCAAGACAAGAAAAACCCAAAGGGUAGGCACAGACCAUCUGGGGCACUGGGGUGAGAGGGGAACAGAGUCAGCAAGAGGCUGUAGCAAGGAGGGAAGAGCAGGCCACACCGCCCACUUCACAUCUGCUGUCCCAGGUUUGGAACCUAAGCCCAAGCCAAUAUUCAGAUCCCCCAGAUCCUUCCUGGGCAAAUAGUGGUCCAAGCCAACCCACACCCCUUGAAAUUUCAAACCUGUGGAGAAGUCUGGAGUCCCAGCCCAGGGCAGUCUGGGCUGGGGUGGGCUGAUCCAUGUGGGCCCAGAGGGAAGCUGGGAGUCCGAGUCCGGGCUUGGGAUGAGGACAUAGUCCAGAGUUUGGGAUGGCUGAUAGUACCAGGGCCCCCUCCCCCCAAGAUACUUUUGCCUAAAGCUUAGGGCAGAGUUCCAGGACAGGGAAAUCAAGGGUGUGCCCAAUUAGAACAAAUACACAGUAAGACCAAAAACUUACACCUAUAUCAUUUAAGUAGUUCCUGACCUGACCAAGAUCAAAGACCAAAAGCUUAUAACCAAGCCUAAAGCAAGUCUUUGAGCUAUCAGGCUCUCAAGGGUCAAUGGAAUCAGCAGGGGGAGGGGACCAUCACAUCACCCUUCAAGAAGUGAAACUAGUAAAAACCCAGAAAGUAAGCUUACUUGUCCUCCAAAGGUGUGCCCUUGACUUCUGUUGUGCCAGGUCUAAGGUGCGACCUUUCACCUUCACAGUCUUGGUCUUGGUCUUCUCCUCAGUACCUGGAUUCCCAACCCCCCUUUUUAUUUUAUCACAAUAAAUCCUACUAAGCUUUGGAAUCCCUGUCUAUCCCCCCCAGGGGGGGGGAGGGCUAUCUCCUAUAUAUUUUUUCUGUCUGGGACCUCUUUUUCUGCCUGCCUGGGACAGGAGAGUAGGGAAGGCAGGAAAAAACCUCCUAGGUCAGAACUGCCUUCCCUCUCUCCCCACACUGGUGUCUUGUUGAUAAAAGUGGUUGCCAAGAAACAGCAGCUGCAGGGCCCCCUCACAUCUGUGAUGUCAUGGCAUUCCGCCCUGACAUCACCCAGCUAUGGCAACGGAAUGGUCAUUUCUCAACCCACUAGAAGAACAGUUGGAGUUUCCAGAGGAUCCAGCCGCGAGUGUCCCAACCCUGACCCUGAGACUUGA